CUCCCUCCGUUUCGCAAUGUAAGUCAUUCUAGUAUUUCUCACAUUUAUAUUGAUGUUAAUGAAUCUAGACAUAUAUAUUCAUUAACAUCAAUAUAAAUGUGGAAAAUGCUAGAAUGACUUAACAUUGCGA
rnacentral:misc_RNA from 1 species